AUUGAACGCUGGCGGCAUGCCUAACACAUGCAAGUCGAGCGAGCGGCGGACGGGUGAGUAAUGUCUGGGAAACUGCCUGAUGGAGGGGGAUAACUACUGGAAACGGUAGCUAAUACCGCAUACCAUCAGAUGUUCCCAGAUGGGAUUAGCUAGUAGGUGUGGUAAUGGCUUACCUAGGCGACGAUCCCUAGCUGGUCUGAGAGGAUGAUCAGCCACACUGGAACUGAGACACGGGCCAGACUCCUACGGGAGGCAGCAGUGGGGAAUAUUGCACAAUGGGCGCAAGCCUGAUGCAGCCAUGCCGCGUGUGUGAAGAAGGCCUUCGGGUUGUAAAGCACUUUCAGCGGGGAGGCGUUACCCUAAGAAGAAGCAACGGCUAACUACGUGCCAGCAGCCGCGGUAAUUC
rnacentral:rRNA from 1 species